AAUCAAUACGCUUUUCUAGAUUAGGUUGAAAAUAUAAUUAACAGCUGUAAACUAGUGAAAUUCGUAAUUCAUACAGGGGAAGGCUAAUUUUAGCAUGUAGCAUAGCUAAUUAUUAUCCCGCAAGGCACCAUUAGAUAAAAAUAGAAAAGUAGAUAACAUGUAUAAUUGAGAAAUGUAUUUUAUGCUCAAACUGUUUUUUAUUUUCAUUAUACAGAUCCACGUAUCUAUUUGCAACAUGAACGAUAAAUAUUUCUGUCCCCUUUGCUCAUACAAGCUACAGAACCAUUUAGCACAAACUGCUAUGGUUCAACAUAACGAUGCCUCUGAAUGUUCUUGAAACUGUUCUCCAGGAGGUGAUACCAGCACAGGGAGACUCAGCUUACCUCACCUUGGCAUUGACCUGCAAGUGCUUUGAAGCCGUUGUGUCUGAGCCAGUUUUCAGGAAGAAGACUCACUUUGACUUUUUUCACCUAAAACAUGUGAAAUUAGAUUUCAACUACAUGAAAUCGAUUUUUCAUUAACAGGUGAGAUCAACUGGGGCAAAUUUUCAAAAACAUUCAAGGCAGAAAACCGGAUUCCUUUUGCGGUUGUAACGUGUUUUUCCUGCCACCGGUAAUAUAAAGACUGUGGGCUUCACCGGCAAUGGAAGACGAGGAGAGUACCCUGGUUACUACUGUGAUGGCCGACCUGGACACUGCACUGACUGUCAAUACUGAAUGCAAGGAGAAUAUUAGUUGCUUUCCACAGUCUUUCACACAUCUCAGUUAUCACACAUUGUUAGUUUAUUUUUUUUGUGACAUGCCAUUUUAAAUCAUUUCUGCUAAAGAAUAUUUGCCUUUUGACUUGUGCAGUCAUCCUUUUUAAUAAUGUGUUCUUUCAAUAUUAUUUACAUUUUUGAAUGUUCCUUUUGUUGUAGCUCAGUUGAUUUACUUUAUUUACUUUUCAUAGAAAUGGUGCCGUUUCCACACAAAGUUACAUUGUGGCUGUAAUUUGUUGGAGAGAGUAGAACCAAUAAAGUAGUUGUAAAUAUAUUGUAACAGCGUUAUUUAACAAUAGGAUAACCUUGUUUUAAAAAUUUUAAAUGCAAGCAAAGCUAAUAACUUGCAAUAUUUUAUAUGUGUAAAUACAAUGUUUCCUAUACUUUUUGAACAAUGACUGGAAUCAAUACCAUUUUUUUUUACAAACCUGACAUACAGCUAAGUUUAUGUUUUAACAGUCAGAAUCAACUUGGGUUUUUUUGUAAUAAAGCAAGCACAUUACAGAAACAUAUUGUUCAGAUACAAACAAGAUUAAACGAGCAGAGCGAAGGUGUAGUCGGGGUGGAGGUGAUGGAAGCUGAGAUGAGGAGCAGUUGCACACAUCAAGCCGGACUUUAUGAAGGGUGGAGGAGAUGAGCCCGGCGCCGUUAGGCUGGGAUGGAGACACCUGAUCAGGUGAUUGGCUGAGCAGGUGAGAUGAAGACAGUUAUAGUUAGAAUUUACACACUGGUUUAAUUUAUGUAACCAGUGACGUUAUUCAAAAAGGUUUUCAUAUAGAAAAAAGAUCAUUCUCUCUGGCAGUUACCAGUGCAGUGUCUACUGCCGGGGUCCGAGCCCCAAAGAUUAUUUCUUGUCAAAUAAACUUUCUAAAACCUA